rnacentral:snRNA from 1 species
GUGCUCGCUUCGGGAGCACACAUACUAAAAUUGGAACAAAACAGGGAAGGAUAGCAUGGCCCCUGCACAAGGAUGACAUGCACAUUUGGGAAGCAUUCCAUAUUUUA